UACGUAGGGUCCGAGCGUUGUCCGGAAUACUGGGCGUAAAGCGUGCGCAGGCGGCUUCUUAGGCAUGACGUGAAAGCCCCGGGCUCAACCCGGGAGGGUCGUCGUGAACCGGGGGGCUUGAGGCCGGUAGAGGUGGGUGGAACUCCUGGUGGAGUGGUGAAAUGCGUAGAGAUCAGGAAGAACACCCGUGGCGAAGGCGGCCCACUGGGCCGGUAC
rnacentral:rRNA from 1 species